UGGGGAAUAUUGGACAAUGGGCGCAAGCCUGAUUCAGCCAUGCCGCGUGUGUGAAGAAGGCCUUUUGGUUGUAAAGCACUUUAAGCGAGGAGGAGGCUACUUGGAUUAAUACUCUAGGAUAGUGGACGUUACUCGCAGAAUAAGCACCGGCUAACUCUGUGCCAGCAGCCGCGGUAAUACAGAGGGUGCGAGCGUUAAUCGGAUUUACUGGGCGUAAAGCGUGCGUAGGCGGCUUCUUAAGUCGGAUGUGAAAUCCCUGAGCUUAACUUAGGAAUUGCAUUCGAUACUGGGAAGCUAGAGUAUGGGAGAGGAUGGUAGAAUUCCAGGUGUAGCGGUGAAAUGCGUAGAGAUCUGGAGGAAUACCGAUGGCGAAGGCAGCCAUCUGGCCUAAUACUGACGCUGAGGUACGAAAGCAUGGGGAGCAAACAGG
rnacentral:rRNA from 1 species